rnacentral:rRNA from 1 species
GACGAACGCUGGCGGCGUGCUUAACACAUGCAAGUCGAACGGAAAGGCCCUGCUUUUGUGGGGUGCUCGAGUGGCGAACGGGUAAGUAACACGUGAGUAACCUGCCCUUGACUUUGGGAUAACGUCAGGGAACUGGGGAUAAUACCGGAUAGGAGCUCCUGCUGCAGGGUGGGGGUUGGAAAGUUUAGGCGGUUGGGGAUGGACUCGCGGCUUAUCAGCUUGUGGGUGGGGUAGUGGCUUCCCAAGGCUUGGACGGGUAGCCGGCCUGAGAGGGUGACCGGCCACAUGGGGACUGAGAUACGGCCCAGACUCCUACGGGAGGCAGCAGGCGGGAAUAUUGCACAGUGGGCGGAAGCCCAGUGCAGCAACGCCGCGUGCGGGAUCACGGCCUUUGGGGUGUAAACCGCUUUUGCCUGUGACGAAGCGUGAGUGACGGUAAUGGGUAAAGAAGCACCGGCUAACUACGUG